rnacentral:rRNA from 1 species
AUUGAACGCUGGCGGCAGGCCUAACACAUGCAAGUCGAGCGGAUGAAGGGAGCUUGCUCCUGGAUUCAGCGGCGGACGGGUGUGUAAUGCCUAGGAAUCUGCCUGGUAGUGGGGGAUAACGUCCGGAAACGGGCGCUAAUACCGCAUACGUCCUGAGGGAGAAAGUGGGGGAUCUUCGGACCUCACGCUCUCAGAUGAGCCUAGGUCGGAUUAGCUAGUUGGUGGGGUAAAGGCCUACCAAGGCGACGAUCCGUAACUGGUCUGAGAGGAUGAUCAGUCACACUGGAACUGAGACACGGUCCAGACUCCUACGGGAGGCAGCAGUGGGGAAUAUUGGACAAUGGGCGAAAGCCUGAUCCAGCCAUGCCGCGUGUGUGAAGAAGGUCUUCGGAUUGUAAAGCACUUUAAGUUGGGAGGAAGGGCAGUAAGUUAAUACCUUGCUGUUUUGACGUUACCAACAGAAUAAGCACCGGCUAACUACGUG